rnacentral:rRNA from 1 species
AGAGCGAACGCUGGCGGCAGGCCUAACACAUGCAAGUCGAGCGCCCCGCAAGGGGAGCGGCAGACGGGAGAGUAACACGUGGGAACGUACCCUUCAGUUCGGAACAACCCAGGGAAACUUGGGCUAAUACCGAAUACGUCCGUAAGGAGAAAGAUUUAUCGCUGAAGGAUCGGCCCGCGUCUGAUUAGCUUGUUGGUGAGGUAAUGGCUCACCAAGGCUACGAUCAGUAGCUGGUCUGAGAGGAUGAUCAGCCUCACUGGGACUGAGACACGGCCCAGACUCCUACGGGAGGCAGCAGUGGGGAAUAUUGGACAAUGGGCGCAAGCCUGAUCCAGCCAUGCCGCGUGGGUGAUGAAGGCCCUAGGGUUGUAAAGCCCUUUCGGCGGGGAAGAUAAUGACGGUACCCGCAGAAGAGCCCGGCUAACUUCGUGCCAGCAGCCGC